rfam:Schistosoma curassoni strain Dakar, Senegal genome assembly, scaffold: SCTD_contig0004334
GUACGGCCGAGGAGUUCCACAAUAGGACGAAACGGCCGUCCAGUGC